rnacentral:rRNA from 1 species
UACGUAGGGGGCAAGCGUUGUCCGGAUUUAUUGGGCGUAAAGAGCUCGUAGGCGGCCAACUAAGUCAUACGUGAAAUCCCUCAGCUUAACUGGGGAACUGCGUGUGAUACUGGAUGGCUUGGAUUUGGGAGAGGGAUGCGGAAUUCCAGGUGUAGCGGUGAAAUGCGUAGAUAUCUGGAGGAACACCGGUGGCGAAGGCGGCAUCCUGGACCAAUAUUGACGCUGAGGAGCGAAAGCCAGGGGAGCAAACGGG